UUUUUCUUGCAUGAUUUGCAUGUGCUUGAUUUUAUUUAUUUAUUUAUCAAUUUCAUUUAUUUAGAUACUUAGUUUUUUAUUUUUAUUAUUUGUUUAGUUAUUCAUUUAUUUUUAUUUAUUUAUUUUCAAAAAAUUGCAUGUGAUUAGUGAUCUUAUCUUAUUAUUAUUAUUAUCGCAUGAAUUAAUUCUUAGGUUUUUCUGAUAUAUGCC
rnacentral:lncRNA from 1 species